UACGUAGGGGGCAAGCGUUGUCCGGAAUCAUUGGGCGUAAAGAGCGUGUAGGCGGCCAGAUAAGUCCGCUGUGAAAUCUCGAGGCUCAACUUCGAGCUGUCGGUGGAAACUGUCUGGCUAGAGUCCGGAAGAGGAGAAUGGAAUUCCUGGUGUAGCGGUGAAAUGCGCAGAUAUCAGGAAGAACACCAGUGGCGAAGGCGGCUCACUGGCCCGGUACUGACGCUGAGGCGCGAAAGCGUGGGGAGCAAACAGG
rnacentral:rRNA from 1 species